GGGAUGUCCCCGUAUCCAUGGUCAUUGUUUGGGGGACAGGCCACGGUGAGCAACCACAAUGGGCUCAGAACACUUUACCAUCACGUCUCCCCAAACACAGCAUCACAUGGGAGAGCCCCGCCAAAAAACACCCGCCACAGGGACCCAGACCUCCCCAACUGGGCCACCUCUCCUGUUUUUCUGUUUACUCGCUCUUUCUCCCCUUUACCCUAACACUAUUGUGACACUGUAGAGAUAUCCACACAGAGGUGUAGAGAGAUUCAUUUGGACCGUACGUGUGCAUAUUUAUAUGACAAAGAGGAUGUUUCAAAAGGAGAGGGAUUUUUACGUUCCUCUGAGGGACCAAAAUCUUUUAGAGUUGCAGUGGCAUGAUUGUCUCCUGAAUGACACUGUCUGUGUCUCUUUUCUUCCAGUGUAUUUAUGCGUUCCCUGAUAUGCAAAAUGGACUUCCAUUCUUUGGCAUUAAAGCUAUACAAAGCAAAGCAGCUGUUCAUGUUCCUGCUGGAGGGGCAGUCAGGGGGCGCUGUGGCCCAGCAGGGCUGUAUCAGCGCAGAGCAGCUCCUGGUGGAGCUCAAGGCCGGGGGCAUCCGACCAGAACAAGAGGAAGCCAUCAAACAGGAGCUCCGACACAUCAGCUCCCUGGACCUGCUGGACUUCCUGGCGUACCUGCCCCUCUUCAUCCUAAUCCACAACUCAGUCAUCGCCAACCCACUGGAUGACUCCAGCAACCUGUGAUGUCAUCGGCUACACAGGCUUGAACCCUAUCUGUCAUUAGCUACCACACACUGUGGCAACAGGGUUCCAGGGUUCUCUUUCUAAAACGAUAGCCAAUGCACUUAAAGCUGUUUUUGAGAUGUGGUUUUUUCGGGGGGUGGGGGGCACAUUUCAUGUAACAAGGUCGACAUUCUGAGAAAUUUCUUCAAAGGGGCUUUGGAGACACCCUUUGGAAUAUGCAUUGAUAAAUAGCCUACUGAAGGUGGACGUCUAAGCUUGAGAAUGGUGCUGUCUAUGGUACUGAAAUAUGCAGGGAUUUUCAGUUGCGGUUCAUGCAUCGGUAAUGCACUGAAUAGGGACAUAACACGUUUAGACUCCAGUUAGACAAGGGAUACACAAUUGUUGCUCAUGGGGGACCAAAUCCUAAAAUGCAAGAUGCAGGUGCAACUUCAAACUUUUGCACAAAUUAAGCAUUGAUUUAAUGCAUGAUUUAUGCCAAACCUUUGUGCGGGUUUUUAAGAUAGGGGGGGGUGAAUAUAAUGGCUCUCCACCGCUUUAGUAACUGAGUAAUGUGGCAUUAUGAAAAUAAAAUAAAUGAAGCAUGACCUAACCUAAAUCUCCUAUGUGUUUUCAAUCAUCUCCCUCAGCUUUAAGUGAGAGGGUCCGGCAAGAAAUUACAAAUUAGAUAUGGCAGUUCUUUAUUUAAUUUCCCUCAGGCUUGACAGAGUCGGGGAGGAAAGCGUUAAUGCACUCUGACAGGCGGUCAUGGAAUUGUUCAGACCAUUCAUUGCUGUUUUAGGGUAGCUGUGUCAUAGAAAUUCUAUGAUGCCUAAUAAGGGUACCAAAGAGAGCUACACAUACUGCCUGUCGUUUUUGUGUCUUGUGCCCUUCUUGGUAAGCUCUAUUUUUAUUUCAUCUUUAUUGUAACCCUUUCCGGCAGUCAAAUGAUCAGACCGCCCUCUAGUGCAAUCAUGGGUGGAAUGUUAUUCUUUUUUCAGAAUGAAUCAAAACAAUAUUUUUUUUACAACGAAAACUCUGUGUUUCUAUGUCAAAUGGUUUCGUGUUUCAGUCUUCUGUGAUGUAGAUAAACUAUAAUGUUUGGAUGCAAACUCAAAAUGUAAUACAUUUUCAGUUGCCUAAUUAUAAUUUAAGGCCAUAACUGUGUGUGAGGUGUAUACUUUUGUUUCAAAGUACAGUAGAUUUGUUUGACUACCAAGAAAGACUGUGACCCUGACGUAGCCCACUGUAGUAAAAGGCUAACAGGGAGUUCCAUUGAGGGCAAGGUCUAUUUACCAAGCGAGCCCAGCAUAUACAUAAUUGACUAAAUACAAUAUAAUACAAAUAGGCCUAUACAAAAUUACAAACACACUCAAGAAAACAAUCCCAUUCCUCAGCAAAGAGGUCCACAAUCAACAAUUUGACCUCCCCAAAAGACACCACACCACAUCCGUAACUCUGUAGAUUGUUCCAUACAUGGAGUGCUAACAAACUGAAAGCAGAGACGGGAUUUCCAGAGUAAGCCAUCCCUGAGACCGGGUAUGAUACAGUGACUCUUAUGUCUAAAGGUUAUUAAUGAUGUCCGUGCGGCAGUGAUGUGUACUGAACCUGUCACCAGUAAUAAAAUUAGGUGCUGUGUUAAACUGCAUUUAAAGGUGUUUAUGAAGUGGCUCCUGCAUUCAUAUAGAUGAUGUCAC
ensembl:lncRNA